GGGGAGGUCGCCAUGGCGACGGCGGCGCGGCCGCCACUCGCAGAGCGGCUUCUUGGCGGAGCCCCGCAGGCGCGGCCAAUGAGGAGGCGGCGCUCAGGAUGGGCGCCGCCAUUUUGGGGGCCGCCCUGAGGGGCGGGGGCCGCGCCGCUCCUGCUCUGCCGCCGCUGCGGGUCCUGCGGCCGCCCCGGAGCUCCCGUGGGGCGGACCGGGUCCCUCCCGGGCCUCGUAGGUCACGACCCGCCGGCGGCUGAGGCCGUCUUGCCCUGGGCUGCGGCCGGUGUGUCCUGUCAGGCGGCUCACGGGUGUCUCGGGACUCUGGCGAGGCUCCUGUGCUUUUCCCGCCCGGCUGAGCGCUGUAUAUUGAAACUGACAAUUUAAUAUUGGCCUCUUCAUCCUCACGGACCAUCAAAAUAUUUACCAUCUUCCAAGAAAUCAGAAGAAAGACCCCUCAGCUUUCCCACAAAAUGACUGUACUUUACAAGCCUGACCUGAUAACAGAGCAGAUGCUGCAUACAAGAAUUGUAGAAUAAGAUUAAAUAUAGAUCUAUGCAAAUAUGUCCAUGUCCUGCUGAUAGAUCAAAAAUCUAAAAAAUUAAGUAGUCUUAAUUUUAGAUUGUUGCUGUGUAUGAAAUUCUUGAAUGUAAUUAUUGAUAUUAACUGAUAAAGCUUUUCUGGAGUCAUAGUUUUGGCACUGCUGUAGAAAUUGCACUGAUAGCUUUGGCUUAUUUUUUGUCUUAUAUAGGAUAUGCAGCACAAGCAAUGGGAAUAUUUUGUCUGUUGAUACAUCAAGACAGAAAUUUGGCAAGGUAGUUCAUGAGGUCACUGUGAACUAGCUUCAAUUUUCUGAGGAAAAAAUGUGAUUUUUGCAAAGUUGUUCUUAAUUAUUACUAACAUUGUAAGUUAAUAUAGUUGAGCAUUCCCUCUGCAGUGCCUUCAGGGAUUUCUCUUCCUCAAAAAAAAAAAGUUAAAAGAAAUCCAAUAGCUGUGCCUCCAUCUGCCAGAAUGAUUAUAUUUUUCAUGAUGCAAUUACAAAGAACUCGGAUCUGUUUCACCUGUCAGUGUGAUUAGCAGUACAAGCAAAGUGCUUUAUGAAGUAUUUCCCUACAGGCUCACACAACAAGUCACUUCAAUAUUUUGGAUAGGGUUUCCUGGCAAUGCCUAGCACCUAGAUACAGCAUUACAUACAAUAUCCUGGCAAAUGGCAGGUAGGCUUCCAGAUGCCCCAAUUCAUAUAUUGUCAUUUGCUCUCUGAAACGUUUCCUCACAGGGAAGGAAGACUAAGAGCAGGAGCAGGAAAGUGUGUGACUCUCCAUAAAUAUAUUACAGCUACAUCUUCACUGAACAAUGCCUGAGUAGCAAGCAUAAUAAUUCAGCAUGGACACCAGCUUUGUCUUACUUUUAUCACAGUUUAGCUUGAGGAGGCUUUGGCAACCAGGCAGCUGAAACUAUUUCUACACCUGAUCAGUUCUGACACUGUGUGUCACACCUCCCUGUUACCUCUGCUUCAGAGUCCCGGACUUGUUGUUUCAGAUCCUUCUGUUCUUCUCUCAGCUCCCACAGCAAGUCGUACAGACGGCGCAUGUUCUUGUGUUUCUCUGAGGACCACGGCUGGAAGCAGAUAAGUCAGUGAGAAACAGCAGCACUGUCUGGGUGCACAGGGUCAGGUACUCUGCUGGCAGAAACUGGCACCAUCCUGCUACAGCCAAUAAAGCAGCACUUGUUUCCAUCAUUGAAACAUCAAACCCAUGGUCAGCAUGGGUUUAUCAGACUUCAUUUUGAUUUAGAAUCCAUCAGUAAUAUGAGCCAGAUGGCACAUCUUGCGCUUUGCUGAUGCUGCUGUUUUACUGUAGGAAUGAAAUGAGAUGAAUUGGAAUGCAUUGAAAUAGAGAUAAAAAAAUGGGAUUCCAGCAAUGGUAUUCUGUGUAUUCUCCCCAUUGGGGAACAGAAAUUUUAAAAACCCUUUUACAUUAAAAAAAAAAAAAUCCCUA